rnacentral:rRNA from 1 species
UACAGAGGUCUCAAGCGUUGUUCGGAUUCAUUGGGCGUAAAGGGUGUGUAGGUGGCGCGCUAAGUCGGGUGUGAAAUUUCGGAGCUUAACUCCGAAACUGCAUUCGAUACUGGCGUGCUUGAGGACUGGAGGAGGAGACUGGAAUUCAUGGUGUAGCAGUGAAAUGCGUAGAGAUCAUGAGGAAGACCAGUGGCGAAGGCGGGUCUCUGGACAGUUCCUGACACUGAGACACGAAGGCCAGGGGAGCAAACGGG